AUUGAACGCUGGCGGCAGGCCUAACACAUGCAAGUCGAGCGGAUGAAGGGAGCUUGCUCCUGGAUUCAGCGGCGGACGGGCGAGUAAUGCCUAGGAAUCUGCCUGGUAGUGGGGGAUAACGUCCGGAAACGGGCGCUAAUACCGCAUACGUCCUGAGGGUGAAAGUGGGGGAUCUUCGGACCUCACGCUAUUUGCUGAGCCUAGGUCGGAUUAGCUAGUUGGUGGGGUAAAGGCCUACCAAGGCGACGAUCCGUAACUGGUCUGAGAGGAUGAUCAGUCACACUGGAACUGAGACACGGUCCAGACUCCUACGGGAGGCAGCAGUGGGGAAUAUUGGACAAUGGGCGAAAGCCUGAUCCAGCCAUGCCGCGUGUGUGAAGAAGGUCUUCGGAUUGUAAAGCACUUUAAGUUGGGAGGAAGGACAGUAAAUUAAUACCUUGCUGUUUUGACGUUACCAACAGAAUAAGCACCGGCUAACUUCGUG
rnacentral:rRNA from 1 species